GAUGAGUCUAUUGGAGAAAGAUUAUAUUUCUUUGCGCAAUCCAAACCAUCUGCUAAUGGUAGCAAAAGACAAACAGCAGAUAACGAAGAUGCAACAAAGUCUCAACAAACGAAAGGAGCUUUUUUGUCUUCAGAGACGUUGAAAUCACAAAGAGGACUUUCUGGCUCUAAACCAAAAAGAAGAAGUAAGGAAAUAGCUGAACUACAACAGAAGCGACAAGAUGCGAUACAGCAAAGAGUCGAAAAGCACAACGUGCUCGAAAGCACAGAACGAGAACAACGAGCUCAGAAACGGAAACAAGAAGAGCAACUGGCCAAAGCAGCUGAAAAAUUGCAACACAAAGCGAAACCAUUAGCACAGGCACAA